rnacentral:rRNA from 1 species
GACGAACGCUGGCGGCGUGCUUAACACAUGCAAGUCGAGCGGUAAGGCCCUUCGGGGUACACGAGCGGCGAACGGGUGAGUAACACGUGGGUGACCUGCCUCUAGCUCUGGGAUAAGCCUGGGAAACUGGGUCUAAUACCGGAUAUGACUCCACGGCGCAUGUUGUGGGGUGGAAAGCCUUGUGUGGCUAGAGAUGGGCCCGCGGCCUAUCAGCUUGUUGGUGGGGUGAUGGCCUACCAAGGCGACGACGGGUAGCCGGCCUCGAGAGGGCGACCGGCCACACUGGGACUGAGACACGGCCCAGACUCCUACGGGAGGCAGCAGUGGGGAAUCUUGCGCAAUGGGCGAAAGCCUGACGCAGCGACGCCGCGUGAGGGAUGACGGCCU